UUCCCCUAGUAACGGCGAGUGAAGAGGGAAGAGCCCAAGAUUGAAAGCUGGCGCCUUCGGCGUCCGCAUUGUAAUCUCAAGAAGUGUUUUCCGCUUCGGACCAUGCCUAAGUCCCUUGGAAAAGGGCAUCAUAGAGGGUGAUAAUCCCGUACAUGGCAUGGAGCGCCCGAAGCUUUGUGAUACGCUUUCUAAGAGUCGAGUUGUUUGGGAAUGCAGCUCAAAAUGGGUGGUAAAUGCCAUCUAAGGCUAAAUAUUGGGGAGAGACCGAUAGCGAACAAGUACAGUGAUGGAAAGAUGAAAAGAACUUUGAAAAGAGAGUUAAACAGUACGUGAAAUUGCCAAAAGGGAAGGGUAGGAGGUCAGAGAUGCGUCGCAGGAUUCAGCCUUGCUUUUGCUUGGUGUUUUUCCUGCGUUGCAGGCCAACGUCGGUUUUGGGCACUGGAGAAGGGUAGGAGGAACGUGGCACCUCUCGGGGUGUGUUAUAGCCUCCUACUGGAUACAGCGACCGAGACCGAGGAACGCAGCGUACUCGUAAGAGCGGGCCUUUUGGCACCUUUACGCUUAGGGCGUUGGCAUAAUGGCCCUCUACCACCCGUCUU
rnacentral:rRNA from 1 species